CUUCCCCCAUCCGUGGUGGUACACACCUUUAAUCCCAGGACUCAGGAGAAAGGCAGACCACCCUGGGCUACUGAAGAGUGAAUCAGAGCAAACCACCCUGGGCUACUGAAGAGUGAAUCAAAUCCCAGGACUUGAGAAGCAUGAAAGGUAGAGGCAUUUAGUCGAGAAUUAGUCUCUAGCCAUUUGCAGAGGUCUGAGUGAAUCUGAGGAGCAGUGAAGUCGGGAGCAGUUUGAGAAUCGCCCCUUUGGUCUGAGCUGAGGUAGAGUUUGGUUUGAAAAGUUCUGGAUUUAUCCAAGGAUCAAAGCCAUUUCUGUGAGGCCAUGGAAAGAAGUUUUUCACCUCUGAGUUGCAUUUCCUACCCUGAGAUCAGCCAGUUAAUCUUCACCUUGAUGACACUACAGACCCCAGAGCAUGAGACUCAGGCCAGCUGGGCCAGCAGCAACUGGCCAUCAGAUCCUCUGCUUGAUGCCAUGCCAAUCUCCCUCUAAUGUCAGACUUCCACUGUUGCAUUUAUACCCAAGUGAAGACACUCUCAGUGGUGUGGCCUCUUGGUCACCUGACCGGUGGGACCGUACAGCCAUCUAACCCAAAUUGUUCCUUUCUGAGUCCACAGCUGGCAAGCAGCUCCUCUAUUUAGUACACCCCCGUUUCUGCCAAGGCAGACAUUGCUAAUCGAUCACCGUUCUUAGUAAUGGAUUCCUAACACUGCAAGCCUGACGACCUCAUCCCAGGAUGACAAGCAUGUGUAUUCAGAGUUGACACACCAAACAGAACCUGUUUGGCAUUCCUAGGCUAAGGACACCUCAUGAAUGACAGGACCAAAGGAGUGAAUUGGGAAGACCGUGGUAGCAGUCCUGGAGAACUGGACUGUUUGAAGUUUGAAGGUCUGUCUGCACCAUGCUACCGCUUUGAAAGUCACUAUUCACAUGGCUAUAGAAAGAACAGCAAAGUCCAGAGAGAGAAACCAACAGUUAGGUUCAGGCUGUUACACAUAAACUUGAGGGGGGAUGUCCUUCUGUAUAUAUGUUUUUCUUAUUGGUUGAUGAAUAAAACACUGUUUGGCCAAUAGUCAGGCAGGAAGGAUAGGCAGGGCUAUGAGACGAAGGAGUGAGGAGAGAGAAAGAGAGCCAAGAGGGAGAUACCAUGUAGAGACCUGUAAGAUAGGACGCACCAGGCGUUCUCUGGUAAGAUUGAAAGACCCCUGCCCCUUAGCCCUUUCUUUCUCAAGUUUGUCUCCUCUUCCUCCUGUCGGCGGCUUCCCCGAUCCCCACCCCCGGCGGCUUCCACUUCCCCCGCCACCCGCCGCACGCCCAGACCGAGAACGAGCACCAGGUGGGCCGGCACGAGGGCGAGCACCAGGUGGGCCGGCACGAGAACAAACACCAAGUGAGCCGGCCUGGAGCCCUGCCCCUGAGCCCCGCCCGAUGAGAAACACUCCGUCCCAAGGUCUCCGCCCCCAAGGUCAGCCAUCUGGACUCGGAGGGAGGGGGAAUUGAGUCUGUUGUACCAGACACCAGACCUUGAGAAUAUGCUGAUCUGGAAUGGCUCUGUGUCUCAUUUGAACCAUCCAAUGGAAAUGAUUCUGUAUUUCGCCUCAUUUGAAAGACUCUAUGUUUCACCUCAUUUGAAUAACUCUGUACUUUGCCUCAUUUGAAUAACCCUGUAUAGCGCCUCAUUUACAUUGACCAAUGGGAAUAGCUCUGUACAAUGCCUCAUUAGAAUUAUCCAAUAGAAUCCCUGCUCCUAGCUUGCGCCUUUUUCCCUAUAUAAGGACCCCUUUCCCUUGGCUCGGGGCGCUUGGCCUCACAGAAGCUAAGUCGCUCGGGUACCCGCGUCUCCAAUAAAGCCUCUUGCGGUUUUGCAUCCAAGCUCGUGGUCUCGCUGAUUCCUGGGUGCGGGUCUCCUUCUAUGAAAGUACCUCUUCGGGGGGUCUUUCAAGAUAAGGCCGUGUAGAAAUACGUUGAUAAAUAGAAAUGGGUUAAUAGUUAAGACAGCGCUAGCCAGUAAGAAGCCAGCCA
ensembl:lncRNA